UGCCAGGCUUGAAGUGGACCCAGAUUUUCUCUUCUGUUGAAACUGGAGAGCUGAUCUUUAAGGUUAUCUCCCGGUGGUGCCAGACGGGAUCUGCACGGCCCUGCUUCUGCUAAUGCCUAUGAGUUAAUCCCACCCAAAUAGAAUCAUAAGAAUUUUUUUGGAUUUCAUCCUCAAAAAUAGCCAAGGAAUUUGAGUGACUGAGAUCACCAUCACCACUUUUAGCAGCUAGUGAAGUUGGGGUAUAACUAAAAAUAUCUGGACUUCAGUUUAGGUGGUCUGAGUAUAAUCUCAUGUAUAGAUGGGACUUCGGUGAUUGUAAAUUGAAAUUGUUAAUGUGCAUACAUUGUUGUAGGAAGCUAAGGGGAAACAAUGCUUGUCCUCAAAAAGCAUUUCUCAGUGGAUUUCCUGUGAAGUCAUUGUUUAAAAUUUUGAAGCACAAUUAAAGGUUCUGUUUUGUUGUA